GAGACCUUUAUUAUAGUCUAUAGACUCGCUAUAUUACAUUUGGUUUGUUCGUUAAGAGUUCGUAGCAUUCUGUAAAGUGGUCGAGGCUGCUAGGGUUUAUCGUUUUUUCUUUACCACAUCGCUUCAGGUUCUUGACUUCUUGUGAAAGGCUGAAACGAUGUCUCGCGUUUAUGUUGGUAACCUGGAUUCUCGAGUUUCUGAGAGAGAUCUUGAAGAUGAAUUCCAUGUUUUCGGAGUUAUACGGAGUGUGUGGGUUGCACGGAGACCUCCUGGUUAUGCUUUUAUUGACUUUGAUGACCGCAGAGAUGCACAAGAUGCUAUUCGUGAAUUAGAUGGUAAGAAUGGAUGGAGGGUAGAGCUUUCUCACAACUCUAGAGGUGGAGGUGGUGGUCGCGGCGGUCGAUCUGGUGGUGGUGGUGGUGGUGGUGGUUCUGAUUUGAAAUGUUACGAGUGUGGUGAACCAGGUCAUUUUGCUCGGGAGUGUCGCAUGCGUGGCGGUUCUGGAAGACGCCGGAGCCGCAGUCCACCUCGAUUCCGCAGGAGCCCAAGUUAUGGACGAAGGAGUUACAGUCCUCGUGGGCGAUCCCCUAGGCGUCGCAGCUUGUCACCUCGUGGACGCAGCUAUAGCAGGUCACCUCCUUACCGUGGGCGUGAGGAGCUAACAUAUGCUAACGGAAAUGGCGUAAGGGAUCGACAACGAAGCAGAAGUUGAUUUUAAGAGUUGUUAACCGCGACUGUUAAGUGGAUAGUGAGAUUUUGUUAAUCUAGUGUGCUUCAACUGCAGUAUACGUCUGUUUUAUUGGGCAAUGCCCUGAGCUUCUACUCUGGGAUUGGUUUAGUUACUUUCUUGAUUUCUUAGCUUGUGUUCUUUUAUCUCCUCGGACUUCUUGUAGUUUCAUUGCAGGUGUCUUCUGGUACUGCUUCCUUGGUUUUGUGCUUCUGCAUUCACUGGGAUAUCGUCCCUGGCUGCCCUUCUCUGGGAUGGGAUUUUCUAUUUUUGAAUGGUUGUUAGUCCCAGCCAGCUACAUGCUUCUGUUUCAUUGAGUCUCGCUACUUGUGAUGUGCGCGCCUCAAACUCUAAUAGCGUAUGUUUUUAUUAAAUUAUAAGGGGUUGACGGGCUGCAUCAAAUACUUCAGGGAGGUAAUUAAUUACAUAUGUUCUACAGAAGUUGGGCUUAUGGGUUUUUUCUAUACAUGUGAUAUAUAGAUCAUCAUAAUGAAACGGUAAAGUGUGUUUAAUGGAUAAUCAAAACUUGAUGCUAUGUUUUUUUUUAGCAUUCAACUUUAUUCUCAUAAAUUAUAUAUUUUGAAUUGAACACCUAUGUCCUGAAAAAUCCUAGCAAGGUUGAUUAUUUUUUUGAAUUUUGCAUCAAUUUCGGGUCCCUAGUUUUAAUCCUUACAGUUGCCUGACCUUUGUUGAUUAUUUGGUUAGCUCUGCCAUGUUAUGUGAUUUUUUUUCUUGAAGAGCUCGCCCUGGUGAAGAGGUGAUAGUACACUUUUGAUUCAGCAUCUGGUUUGGGUUCUUCCAGCUGGAUGAUUUGACCUACUAAAAUUUGAUAUUCACCUCGGUUUGAUUUAAUAUUUACAACGGAUAUUGUUGGCUAGGAAGGUGAAUUAUGUUGAGAUGGGUUCUGAGUUGUGGCUGAGCUGGGCAUCAGUUUGUGCCUUUUUUGACUUGUGGCCUCUUCUCAUCUGUGUUUCCGUGGCCUAUACAUACUACGUUAUCUGUCUUUAAACUGGAAAAUCUGAGUCGAAAGGGAUUCUUUACUCCGUGUUUUUGAAUAGUAAAUAAUUAACAAAACUGGAGUUUACUACAAGGUUGGUACUUUAUUGUGUUGUAAUUAUUGUAGUUCAUCAAACAUUUUAUGUUGUUUUCACCAAACAAGAUGUUAAGCUUGCAAUACUGUUACUGAA